rnacentral:rRNA from 1 species
UAGAGUGGCGAAAGGGUGAGUAACACGUAUGCAAUCUGCCCCGUUCUGGAGGAUACCUCUUGGAAACGAGAAAUAAUACUCCGUAUAAUUCCUUUGACGCAUGUCAGAGAAAUGAAAGUUCCGGCGGAACGGGAAGAGCAUGGGUCCUAUUAGCUAGUUGGUGAGGUAAUGGCUCACCAAGGCAAUGAUGGGUAGGGGUUCUGAGAGGAAGGCCCCCCACACUGACACUGAGAUACGGGUCAGACUCC